rnacentral:lncRNA from 1 species
ACCUUUACUUAUCCGUGAGGCUAGGAUAUCCAAAUGGAAAAAUAUGAACUACUAGCGAAAAUCAAGGAAGACAAAGAACAACUGGAAGAAGGGCUUAAAAUCGCGCUCACUUUUUUUCUACACGAGGAGGCUCACACAUUCUUCCUUUGUUAUACAAAUUAUAAUGAAGGAAAACGUGGUUCAAACAAAUUAAUUAAUUUUUUAUUUAUUACUUAAUUAAUAAUGGUGUACAAAUUUUCUGCUCCUGGAUGCAAGCAGGGCUAUGACGGUAUUACUAAGGAUCCGGAUGUGAGCUUUCACAAAUUCCCCAUGAAGGACUCCAAAAUUCAAAAUUACCUUCAAAUUCUAAGUUAUGCACUUUAAUAUAAUUUUGCAAUUUCUUCCCUUGUAAUUUUAGUAAUCAAUAAUACUUAUAAAUGAUAUAUAUUCAAAGGUGGUUGAAAGAGGAAGCCAUCCCAUCAAAGUGUCCGAAUCUGGCAAGCUACUUGUCAUCCCCAUCACCACCUCCAAGACCAACACAGUCAUUAACUAGCACCAAUAGAGUGCAUUUAGAGAAGGAAAGACAAGAAGCUCUGGAGUAUGCAAUGUUUAUGGAAAAGACCAUUCUUUCGGCACAAGAUCUCUAUGACAAACUCUUUUCGGAAUCCCAUUGGGAUUCUUGUUCCUUAAAACUCCAAAAGUUGCCCUUGUGAAAAACAUACAUUCAGGUUGAAAGGGCUAGACGUUGCUGCUUGCCUGGAGGUGGAAGAAUACAUCUACUUCAGAAUUUUCUGUAACAACAUCGACCUAAAUAAGAUCUUAUUAUCACAUUGCAUAAAUUCAGAAAAUAAAAUUAACUCUGUCACUGAAGCCAUCAAUAUUGCUACUUUUCUCGGUUCCACCGAAGGUCAGACAGAGAAAGAGAUAUUUGACAAUAUUUGUGAACAGCUCCUUAAUUUUUCUAUUUAAGAUAUCUGUCUCUAAAAUAAAAAAAUGAUUCUUGGUAGUGCAAAAAAGUGAAUUCUUCUCGUCUGAUGUCUAUAUCACCAAAAAUAAAUUAGUGAAUAUACAGUGAAAAAUUGUUUAUUUAACUAAUAUCCAAAGGAUGCUACUGAAACGUAAAUAGUUUCCUUAUUUGACACAAUUCAACUUGUUCAAGUCGAUUCAUACAAAGCCAAAGAAAGAAUAAUUUCUAAAAUCUUAUCCCUCAAAGUAGAUCAAUAUGAUAUACAAAUUGAGAACAUUAUGGGGGAAUCUCCCUGCUAUAUGUAUAACUCUCUCAAGAGGAUCUUAUACACCAGCAAGGAAUAGUAUUUAUAUUGUCGGAUAGUUAUCACAAUCAUUAUCCCAAAACAUUCUAUGUCUGCACAUCUCUCAAAAUAUAUAACUAUGAUAUGACCUUAAAUCAGGAAAAUAAUAAAAACCAUCUACAACUUGCAAAUCUGGUCACUGUUUUUCUACCUAUAUUCCUAAAAUAUCGAUAAACUUUUCAUCGUUGCAAUGAAGAAUUCUGCGUUGUUUACUGAAUAUAAAAUAUUUGUCAUCAUCAAUACAACAAAAACAUUGCCAAACUGCAUUCAAAAGUACAGAUGAUUGUACUUCCAAUAUUAUAGUUUAAUUAUUACAAACGAAAUAAAACUAUUUUUAUGCUUAUAUAAAAAAAUAUAUAUGCUAAAUGAAUGUCGAAAGUAAUCUAAAUUAAGUUUUAAUUUGUCUGGGCAUAAAAUGGAAUUAAUAAGUUAAAGGAAAAAAUAUAAUUUAGGAUAAGUUAAGAAAUUGAUUAAUUUAAGAUUGUGAUAAAUUGUUACGAGUCGGAUAAUUUAUCAAUGUUCAUCAAUCAUACUACUCAUUUCUCUUUUUUUGUAGUUACAGGAAAAGAAAGAGUCAGCCUUCUUGUGUGAGCGCGAUAUUUUUGUUUCCUUUCCAUUAGUUCUGGUAUUCCUUGGGAAAAUACAUAUACAUAUGUAGAUCCAAUGAAUUGCAAUCCAGUCGGAGGUUGAACAUUUUUAAGGGACUUGACUGAGCGCACUCUUGCUCCCAUUCAGUUAUUAAUAUUGUGAGCGUACUCCCGCUUGUUUUUAAAACAAUGAGCGGGUCUCAUUUUUUCGCUCGUAUGGGAUUUUAAUGUGUAUUUGAAAACUCAAUAUGAUUGCAAUUUAAUUCCUGAAAUUUAUUGGUGUAUAUUAUUUAUUC